rnacentral:rRNA from 1 species
GACGAACGCUGGCGGCGUGCUUAACACAUGCAAGUCGAGCGGCAAGGCCCUGCUUUUGUGCGGUGCUCGAGUGGCGAACGCGUGAGUAUCACGUGAGUAACCUGCCCUUGACUUUGGGAUAACUUCAGGAAACUGGGGCUAAUACCGGAUAGGAGCUCCUGCUGCAUGGUGGGGGUUGUAAAGUUUCGGCGGUUGGGGAUGGACUCGCGGCUUAUCAGCUUGUUGGUGGGGUAGUGGCUUACCAAGGCUUUGACGGGUAGCCGGCCUGAGAGGGUGAACGGCCACAGUGCGACUGAGAUACGGGCCAGAGUCGUACGGGAGGCAGGAGUAGGGAAGAUGGCCCAAUGCGGCGAAGUCGGGUGCAGGAUGGCCGCGUGCGGGAUGAUGGCCUGCGGGUGGGAAACGGCGGUGGGCUGUGACGGAGCGUGAUUGCCGGUAACGGAUAAAGAAGGACCGGCUAAUUACGUG